CAUUAGGGUUGGGAGGGAUUUCAGGUGUCAUAUGAUCCAGGUCCCUCGGUUUAUAGCUUAGAACAGUCAGUUUUCAAAUUAUACAGUGAAGGACUGACAAAACUUGUCCUCACACUCAAUUCUCAUGAUCCUGAUUCCAGUGUUACCUCCCUAAAAUGAUCUGAGUUUUCUGUGGAGAAACUGACAUAUCAGAAAAGGCGUGUAAUCCAGUGUGACACUGCUGCACUGGAGGAAUGCAGGACAGGUACUGAAGUGCGGAGUAAAGGAUUCCUGACUUUUGGGAGUGCAGGAGUAUAAGCAGUGUAUUCUGUGUUCUUCACGGAAGAGCUGAUGCUAACAGUGUCUUAAUGAUCAGGAGGAGUCUGAUGGGUGAAUAUUGGGAAAAAAGGGUGAGAGGAAGGUGAGCUGGCAGGACAUUCUGGGCAAAGGAAUAGAAAGUGCUAAGGUUUGGAAGCAUGAAAGAACAAAAUGAAAUGGAGAACAGCAGUUCAGAGACUAUUUUAUAUGUGGAAGGAACUUUCUGGAAAUUAAACUUCAAAGGAUGGCAUCACUGUGACUGACCAUCAUGGACUCCAUAUAACAUUUUAAGGAGUUUGAUCCUUGUUCUUUUAAAAGUGAACAAAUACUCUAAGUGAUAUAAGCCAGAAAGAGAGAAAAAUACGAUACGAUAUCAUUUAUAUGUGGAAUCUAAAAAAAAAGACAAACUUAUUUACAAAACAGAAACAGAUUCACAGAAAGAAAACAAACUUAUGGUUACCAGCGGGGGAAGGGGGUAGGAAGGGAUAGAUUAGGAGUUUGAGAUUUGCAGAUACUAAUAACUAUAUAUAAAAUAGAUAAACAAGUUUCUUCUGUAUAGCACAGGGAACUAUAUUCAAUAUCGUGUAGUAUCCUAUAAUGAAAAAGAAUAUGAAAAGGAAUACAUAUAUAUAUAUGUAUGACUGAAACAUUAUGCUGUACACCAGAAAUUGUUGCAACAUUGUAAACUGACUACUUCAAUAAAAAAGAUAAGAGAAUAAACAUAAGUACAUAAAGUAAGAACACUAAUAAGAACAUAAACUAUAGGGCUUAAAAUUUAACCUAGCAGUGGUGAGGGUCAGGCCUUACUAUGGUUCUUCUAGAGGUGCAUUACCUGGAAGGUGAUGAAGCUUAAGCCCCUUUCUGUUCCUGUUCUAAGUAACUACUUUUAAACAAACAAAAAUGUGUACAACUUUUUAAAAAAACAUACAAAAUGACACAACUAAAAUGAAGCCAGGAGUCUCAGCCACAAGCAAAGGGGAAUGAUUGCACGAGUCAGGAAACAAAACAUCUGCUUCAGCAGCAAGACGCUGUGACGGAGGAAGGGCGGGAAGGCAUCCUGAGAGAUGCCUUCAGCAAGAGGAGGAUCUACAGAUCAGGAGGGUGGGAGGAGGGUGUGGCCAAGGUUCUACAGACAGCCUGCACUGGGAGCCCCUGAGGCUCUUUUGUGGACUUGUUAGAAACAGAUGGACAUUCUUUCGGCCUUUUCCUGGCAUUGCUGUUGCCAGCAAGGGGACAGAAGUGACCCGCCAGUCAUCGCUCAGUUGUUGCCACCACAGGGCUCCAGCUACUCCAUGAACUGAAAUCUUACAUCGUUUUUGAGAUGUUUCUCCAAAAGAUAGGAAGGUAGGAGAAAAUUUCAUUUGGCUGGCAUGUCAGGAAAUAAGAUUCAGUCAAAGACUUUUGAAAAUUUUCAAGUCAAGAUACAACAGAAGAUUAAACUGUUCCAAAUGCUAUUUUAAGUAAGAGAUAAACCUUUCUUUUAGCAUUGGUAAUUGGGUAAUUUAAACUGCCUAAAUUAUGACCACCCCUUAAAAAAAGAGAGAGAAAUGCUUUAUACAGGUCUAGAAGACAAUACUUUAAACUCAUUAAAAUUUGCUUACAAAACCUUCUUAGAUUUUUCAAGCUUUAACAAAAUUACAAGGCACUCCUAGAAUAGGCCAGAUGAUUGAAAGGUUACUGAGACAGACUAUCUCAUGACUUACAACAUAGCACAUAUGAUACGUAUUAUUUUUAUUCUUUAAGAAAGUCAAGACGUAUGAAAUGAUUGGCAGGAGUUCUUUAUCAGAACAGAAUUGCUUAGAAGUAGAAAUGAAUGCUUUUCGUCACACACAAACUCUGGCUGUAUAAAAGUAUCCAUGGAAACCCUUACCUGUUAGAAGUCCCAAUAUGCAUAUAUAAGGUUAUUCCGUUUUACAUUUCACAUCAACAAAGACGUGAAUAGAAUGGAAAGCAUUAAACUACUAGAAAACUCUGAGGCCUUACAUAAUAGUUUCAGACAAAAAGCCCAUUCUAUUUUUAUAGUAUCUAUUUGACACAAGACCAAAUGACUUUUCAGAAUAUGUUCAUUGAUAGAUGAAGUAAGCAUUAUUAGACAUCCUGUUAUACUUAUGGGAACAAAUUUACGAUUUUAUUUUUUAGCUUAGGAACAAGAAUUGAUGCACAUUCAAUUUAAAUAAUAUUUCACCAUUUUUCAGUCUAAUAAAACAUGUAGUUAAAAAAAAAAAAAAGAGGUUCUUUCUAAAGGCUCCUAAAGGAUAGCCUGCGUUUGGGUAAAGUGAGGAAUUGAAGGAAGGAGCUAGAGAGCUAAUGCCUCCAGAAAAGCCAAGGCCGUGGUAUUUAUUCAAAGAAUUUCUGUAAUUGGCAAUUUUGUGAAACGAAAAAACUGUGGAAAUAAAGUUCACCCAAAUGAGAACAAGCAAAGACUAUUUAUUCAGGGCUUGCUAUGGCAAGGGAGUCAGCUACCAUCAUUUGUGUUUUAGUAGAGACUCAAAGGCAGGCAGAGUGGGAAAGCUUUAUACCGGAAGAAAAGGAAGGCUUCAGAUGUGCCCUGAUUGGAGGCUGCUGGUGUGGGGGAGGCUGGAGGCAGGCAAAUUAGAAGUAGGGCAUCCUAUGUGAUUGGUUAUGGGUGCCUAUUUGGCUUUCUCCAGGUGGCCCUAAGUUCAAAGUGGGUACAAAUAUGGAGGUUAUCAGUUAUCAAUCAAGUCCUGAUUAUUUGGGACGAGUUGCUACAGAAAUUGUGGUUUGGCUUCCUGGACUGGUUGCUGUAGAUUGUGGGUCAGAGAUGUUUUUAUAUUUGAUCUGGCUGUUGUCUGUUUAUAUAUUGAGUCUCUUGGAGUCAAAGGCUGGUUAGUGAUAUCACUAACUAGCUAAAAAAGCUGAGUCCUAAGGCAGCCAUAGAAAGAAAAGUGAGCCGAGCAUAGGAAAAUGAGAACUAGGAAGAAAGAACGGCAGAAGAAGAGAAAAUUAAAGAAAUGGGAGCAAGUAAGUGUGAACUGCAGUUUGGGAAUAAGGUAGAGGUGGGAAAAGAAAAAACCAAGAGCAAGCAGGUUAACACUUUUUUCUGUCUCUCUUCUGAAAGUGGGUAUUCCCAUAUGCAAUAAUGGACUUAACACAGCAGGCUCGUGCAAUUUUGAACAAAUUAAGAAAUAUUCAAUUAAGUGGAAUAUCAAAUAUGAUAGCUGGUUUAAUGAGAUAUGAAUGCCCUUUGCUAUUUUAGUUGAUAUUUUUUAACGUUGUGAGCCAGUGUUUGUGCAGUAGGGCUAUUCUUUCAAAACUAGAUUAAACUAUCUUUUUUCAGGUCAGCCUUGGAGAUCAAAAUGUCUUUAUUCAAGGGCAUCUGGGCAAGGGAACAAGCACAUCUAUCAUGGAGCAUUCAAUAGUCCUUUACUGUCUUAUGCAUCAGAUCUUCUGCCCAGACUUCCCACAGACUGCUCUGGUCCUGCCGAUCUACAUCAUUCUCUGUUCCUGAGCCCAUCUGGGCUGUGUUGGCAGCUGAGCAUUUGCAUAGUGUAAGCUCCCUCUGAUGUAUGUUUUUUUAAAAAACCCAGACAUAAAUAAUAUAAGUUUAUUAAUUUUACUUUUGCAUGUGGAAAGUUGUCAUGUUACCAGUGACUCUGGAGUGGUGGGAAAUUGAACAUGCAUGCGAGGGGCCUCAAGUCAAAGGCCAGAAAAUGGAAUAUGGUCCAGGGUGACUCCAGUCACCUCCAGUAGAAAUAAAGGUGGCAGCACACUACACCUACUCAGUUCUAUUCUCUACUCAGAGGAGCAGAAAAUAAUUAUUUUCUUUUUUUUUUUUAAUUUUGAAAGCAUUCUUUAAUUCUCUGCAGGAUUUUUUAGGAAAACCAGGUUCUGCUUUAUAAAUGUUACAUGAGUCAUACGGGCAUAAAACAAUGGAGGGGAUUAGCAAUGAGAUAUGCUAUUUGCUUAUUCAUUCACAAUUGAUUUUUUCCCCCUUAAUUUAUUCAAUAUUGGUAAUUAGUAAUGUUUUUAACCCAUAAAAUAUAGGCAUGGAAUUUCAGGUCAACCCAUGGUUCAAGGGGUAUUUGGUAUGGGACCUUUCUAUUUAUGGGUAUCAAAGACAUUGAAUACACAGGCUGUCUUGCUGUGCAUUUUCUACACGGAUUUUCUACAUGUGAGUGUGGACAUACGUUUAUUUGAUCUAGUAGGUAGAGUUGGAAUUGGCUUGGCUCACAGAGUACCUGAAGUAGUUGUUUUUGUAUACAUUCACCAGCCAUCUGUCCUCCUCCCAAACCUUAACUUAUGACCAGAUUUCUGUUAUGAUUUCUUGAUUGUCGUAUGCACUAAACCCCAGCCCAAUUUCAGCUAGGGGUUCUGCUCUUUUUUUGUGUGUACUUUAUUGUGAGAGGUGAAGGAAAACUCUGUUCUUCAAACCUCUAGUCACUGGAUCGCAUCAUGUUCGGACAGAGCUCCCUGAAGCCGCAACUCAGGCCCUCUGUGAGAUGGCGACUGCCCUACUUCUCCCAGCAACUUGGAUCCAUGGCUGGUAAAGCCAGCCUCAGGUGAAUGUGGAAUGAAAAUCAUACAUUUCUGAUUAGACCUUGAAAUAGUCCACAAGGUUUAUUCAUUCAAUAAAUACUGAAGACCUAGUAUGUGCCAGACACUAUUGGACGGCUUGCGUGCAUCAGUGUAUGAAACAAAAAUCCUUGUUUCCACGAAGCUGAUGAUCUUGGAGUCUCUGUGGUUUUUUAAACUAUUUUUAUUGUUGUUCUUAUAAUGGCAGAGAGGUUUUUUUCAUAUUAUUAUUUAUUUAAUUCACAGAUUCUGUGUAUCCAGAUGUUUUAGGUUGCAAAAUGACACUGAUACGAUGGAAAAGAAGACACCAAAUACUAAAGUUUCUUUGUAAUUAAUAACAAACUGUAAUAUAUAUCUUACUAUAAAAAUUCUGGACUUUCUCAAAGAUUUUAUUGAAUUCAGAUGUCCUUAUAAUGUAAUUAAAUAACUGUUUAAACUUUUUCUCUUCUUCUCAUAAAUAAGUAGAACACAUAGGAAACAAUCCCAUUUACCAUUGCAUCAAAAAAAAAAAAUCCCUAGAAAUAAACCUACCUAAUGAGGCAAAAGACCCGUACUCUGAAAA